UACGGAGGGUGCAAGCGUUAAUCGGAAUUACUGGGCGUAAAGCGUGCGCAGGCGGUUUGUUAAGUCCGUUGUGAAAGCCCCGAGCUCAACUUGGGAAUUGCAGUGGAUACUGGCAGGCUGGAGUACGGUAGAGGAAGGUGGAAUUCCCGGUGUAGCAGUGAAAUGCGUAGAUAUCGGGAGGAACACCAGUGGCGAAGGCGGCCUUCUGGGCCAAAACUGACGCUCAGGCACGAAAGCGUGGGGAGCAAACAGG
rnacentral:rRNA from 1 species